CUUGAAUGUGAUUUGGAACGCCUUCCUAAAUCUCAUUCAUACUUUGGGCAAAGAUUCUUAAUCAUAUCAUAGAGUAUUCUCCCUCAAACGGUUUGAAGGUUAGAGAUCCCUUGUUGCGCAUUCACUUGCCUCCAUGGCUAAGUAGCUUAACCCCAACGAUGUCGUGGACACCCGCGAAUGGGGUGACUUUGACAUAAUCAAAGAUCAAGGACCUAACCACAAGACAAAUGUUAUGCCUCAGGUCAAAGGACUAAUUUGCAUUAUCCCAACAAUGAGUUCUCAUGUGACAUGAAUAUGAGAACUCUUCGUUGAUCGUGUUCAGUGAACUCAUUCUCUAUUGAGCACCUACGUACUUGUCUUGAUGUCACGCACACCAAUGACUCGAGACUAGUCACUCUCCCUGAGAGAAGACAUAGCACGUACUGAUCUUAACGGACUGUCAAUGCCCAAUAGGCAAUCCUAUGAUCAGGAACGUUUAGGAUGUGUCUACGAAAGAAUGGUCUCAUGAAUCUAACUUCUUUAGAUUACAUUCUUCCAAUCACAUAUUCCUUGGACUUAUCGUUUAAGCAUAUAACAUUUAUAUGAGACGGCUUAAAACAAUAAUCUAUG
rnacentral:lncRNA from 1 species